rnacentral:rRNA from 1 species
CCUACGGGAGGCAGCAGUGGGGAAUAUUGCGCAAUGGGCGAAAGCCUGACGCAGCGACGCCGCGUGAGGGAUGAAGGUCUUCGGAUCGUAAACCUCUGUCAGCAGGGAAGAACGGCCCCUGUGCUAAUCAGCAGUGAAUUGACGGUACCUGCAAAGGCAGCACCGGCUAACUCCGUGCCAGCAGCCGCGGUAAUACGGAGGGUGCGGGCGUUAAUCGGAAUUACUGGGAGUAAAGCGCUCGUAGGCGGUAUGUCAAGUCAAGGGUGAAAUCCCCGCGCUCAACGUGGGAACUGCCGUUGAAACUGGCGAGCUGGAGUGUGUGGGAGGAUAGUGGAAUUCCAGGUGUAGGAGUGAAAUCCGUAGAUAUCUGGAGGAACAUCAGUGGCGAAGGCGACUAUCUGGCACAUAACUGACGCUGAGGAGCGAAAGCGUGGGUAGCAAACAGGAUUAGAUACCCGAGUAGUC